UUCCGAUGAUCAUGGUAAUAGUUCUGAUGGUAACCAUGGUUACCAUCAGGCCUGUUGCAAUGAUCAUCAGAACUGUCACCAUGGUUACCAUCAGAACUAUUACCAUGACCAUCA
rnacentral:miRNA from 1 species